rnacentral:rRNA from 1 species
UAGCCUUGACAUUGAUUGAACACACUAGAGAUAGAGUGGUGCCCUUCGGGGAACAUGAAAACAGGUGCUGCACGGCUGUCGUCAGCUCGUGUCGUGAGAUGUUGGGUUAAGUCCCGCAACGAGCGCAACCCUCGUCCUUAGUUGCUAGCAGUUCGGCUGAGCACUCUAAGGAGACUGCCUUCGUAAGGAGGAGGAAGGUGAGGACGACGUCAAGUCAUCAUGGCCCUUAUGGCUAGGGCUACACACGUGCUACAAUGGGGCGUACAGAGUGUUGCGAUACCGCGAGGUGGAGCUAAUCACUUAAAGCGUCUCUCAGUUCGGAUUGGAGUCUGCAACUCGACUCCAUGAAGCUGGAAUCACUAGUAAUCGUAGAUCAGCAAUGCUACGGUGAAUACGUUCCGCGGGUCU